UACGUAGGGGGCAAGCGUUGUCCGGAAUCAUUGGGCGUAAAGCGCGUGUAGGCGGUCCGGUAAGUCCGCUGUGAAAGUCGGGGGCUUAACCCUCGGAUGCCGGUGGAUACUGUCGGGCUUGAGUACGGAAGAGGCGAGUGGAAUUCCUGGUGUAGCGGUGAAAUGCGCAGAUAUCAGGAGGAACACCAAUGGCGAAGGCAGCUCGCUGGGACGUUACUGACGCUGAGACGCGAAAGCGUGGGGAGCAAACAGG
rnacentral:rRNA from 1 species